CACUGACCAACCGCGAUCCUAAACUUCCGACGAUGUCCUUAACCCCCCUGGUUUUUGGGCCAAAUAUUACGAUAUAGAUAUCAUAAAGUUUUCUCUCGAGUUUUCUGUUGUUUUUGAGCUAAAAAAUCUUAAUAUUUCCCUCGAACAUUACUUGUUUUACAACGCGGAGCGAGGGUGCGAGUUUGCUUCGCUUGUGGAUGCAGCAUUUCACUACAAAGACUACAAAGAAAGACUAAUUCUUUCAGGUAAGAUUCACGAAACUUUUUUAUAACUUUCUAGACGGCUACAGUCACUAGAC